rnacentral:rRNA from 1 species
AUUCCGGUUGAUCCUGCCGGAGGUUACUGCUAUCGAGGUUCGACUAAGCCAUGCGAGUCGAAUGUAGCAAUACAUGGCGAACUGCUCAGUAACACGUGGACAACCUGCCCUUAGGUUGGGUAUAAACCCGGGAAACUGGGUAUAAUACCCGAUAGGUCUCGAUUGCUGGAAUGCAUCGAGAUUUAAAGCUCCGGCGCCUAAGGAUGGGUCUGCGGCCUAUCAGGUAGUAGUGGGUGUAGCGUACCUACUAGCCUACGACGGGUACGGGUUGUGAGAGCAAGAGCCCGGAGAUGGAUUCUGAGACACGAAUCCAGGCCCUACGGGGUGCAGCAGGCGCGAAAACUUUACAAUGCUGGCAACAGCGAUAAGGGAACCUCGAGUGCCAGGUUACAAAUCUGGCUGUCGAGAUGCCUAAAAAGCAUUUCAUAGCAAGGGCCGGGCAAGACCGGUGCCAGCCGCCGCGGUAACACCGGCGGCUCGAGUGGUAACCGUUAUUAUUGGGUCUAAAGGGUCUGUAGCCGGCCGGAUAAGUCUCUUGAGAAAUCUGGCAGCUUAACUGUCAGGCUUUCAGGAGAUACUGUCUGGCUCGAGGCCGGGAGAGGUGAGAGGUACUUUAGGGGUAGGGGUGAAAUCUUGUAAUCCUUGAAGGACCACCAGUGGCGAAGGCGUCUCACCAGAACGGACCUGACGGCAAGGGACGAAAGCUAGGGGCACGAACCGGAUUAGAUACCCGGGUAGUCCUAGCCGUAAACGAUACUCGCUAGGUGUCGGCCACGGUGCGACCGUUGUCAGUGCCGUAGGGAAGCCGUGAAGCGAGCCACCUGGGAAGUACGGCCGCAAGGCUGAAACUUAAAGGAAUCGGCGGGGGAGCACCACAACGGGUGGAGCUUGCGGUUUAAUUGGAUUCAACGCCGGAAAU